ACAACUAUCUCUCAAAACCUUUUAUUUUUUUUCCUUUAACAAUGGUUUUUUCAAAUACUGGAAUCGCUGGGUGCCACUCAGGUGCGAAUCGCUGCUGUCCAGGGGCUGUAGUGACAAAAUUUUAACAAACACUGUCACCUUCUGGGCACGCCGCAGCAGUGCAGCUUCCGACCCGGCAUCCUGCAAGGAAGGCUGCUUCCCCCUGCCCGGGAGAGCCACUGCCCCUCCUGACUCGGAAACUUUUCUGAUGUUCCACCAAGCCUAGAUCCACUGGCUUGAUCACUCUAGAAAAAGGAGCUUUGUGUCUUCGGGUGAAUUUAGUACUGAGCGGCUUUGGUUUCUGUUUGUUUGUAGUUUCAUGCUUAGAAACCCUGUCUGAGUGGGAUUUGCGCAAAACCUUUGCGGGUUUUUUUUUUGUUUUUUUUUUUUUCACUUCUUGGUACAUUUUGCUACUUAAAAAUGUAAGCAAUAUGUGGUGCCCAGGGUGUUGAGCUCACAGCUAAUCCUACAUCCUGCCUUUGUCAUGCUCCCUGGGCAGGAAGAUCCAUUGUUUCAGCCCCACUGGACCCACUGGAGAUGCUUGGGAUGCAGUGGGAGGGUAACCCUCUGCUAUGGGAUGACACCUCCCAUCAGUUCAGCCAGUGUCAUACAUGGCUGAGCUUGGCCACGGGUCAGAGCUGGUUUAAAAACCCACUAGAAUUCCGUUUUCAUUCUCCUCCCUCACCUAGGCUAUAAUUUGGAGGUUUAGCAGAACCUAAGUAUUCAUUUAUAAGACUCUUGAAGGCUUUCAGUCCUCUUGUGGCCAUCUGGUUUCUCAGUGGCUGGUUGGUGAACAAGCAGGAUAUUGGCACACUGGGCAUUCCCUCUGUGGAGCAGAGCUCCUUGGUAUCUGUAGCUGUGUUUACCAGUUUAUAAAUAAUUCUUUGUAUUGUGGUUGACUUGCCCAGCCUUGUGUUGUCUAAAGCCAAGCCAAAUGGGCAGUGGGAGGAACGGCUUUCCUCCUCCUUGGGCCAAAGGGAGUUGCUGAAUGCUCUUUUGUUUAAUAAUUAUCACAAUAAUAGAGUUUGGUGCCGAAAAGAUGGACCUUCAGGACCUGGCUGACCAGGAAAGGCUUUGCUGGGACUCCUGGGUGUUUUAAAAAAAGUGACGGCCUAAGGAUUGUUGAGGAAAUACUGUGAUAGCUGUUAGAAGUCAACUAGUUUGCACUCUGUCACUCAUCUGUAAAAAUUGGUGAAGAAAAAGGUGAUUUUUGAAGAAAGCUCUGCUGGGAUGGAUGCUACCUGAAGACACAGAAACAGCACUGAAAUGUUUUUAAGUCUGUCAACCCACUCUGGUCUUCCAUUGAAGAGGAACAGUGCCAGAUUGGCUAAUUAACAUUAGGCCACAGUUUCAAAAGGACUUAAAAAACAUAGCAACAACGCAUUCCAACACUUCCCUCUGAUUAUGGGAAAGCACCCUGCCCUCCGAGCCUAGACCACACACUUGCUGCCAUCAUCUUGAAUGCCAUGUAACUGGGUAAGCGGGCUAGGUUCGGAGGAACCACGACAGCAGCUGAAAAUCUGCCCGAGGUGGCUGACAGGGAACCACAGCACUCCUGGUAUGAGCAAUGAACAGCAGUGAGUUGGGGAAGUGGCACAUUUUAGGUUUUCAUUUUGCAGGUUGAAGCCCCUGCCAAGGCUACAAUGUCGGCCGAAACCACAGAAUUUCAAAAUGUGUCUUAACAGCAAAUCGAGAAAUCAAUGCACCUUUCUCAUUUUCCUGGAGCAUGACAGAAAGGGCAGUUAAUCAAUAGGUGUCUGUCUGUCCAUUCUAGGGAGCACUGUAUGAGAUCCUGUGGGUGAAAAUAAACAGAGGGAAAAUGAGGAAUCUAGUCUCAUGCAGAUGGCACUUCUCUGAUAGGAGAUCCGUGCCCUGUAAAUAGAUAAAGCACUGCAGACUUGCACUUCAGACCCCAGAAGAAAUGCAUGGUAAGGACUAUCUACUUGAGCUCAUUGUUGUGUGGGAGAUUGAGUAAGCAAACACUGAACUGUAAACCUCUGUCUAUUUACAAAAGGACACAACAAUAAAUAAAAGCAUAGUAAAUAGUGAGAGAUUGGAUUGACAGCGCUGUAGAAAUCUUGGUUGGUAGCUAUACUUAGAUGGCCAAGGAGCUAAGGGUGCUUCUGCAACAAAACUGUGCUCAAGAAAACAUUGGCAGACUGAAGAGAAAUGAUAAGAGUGUAAAUUAUUUACACAAUUCUUUUCAGCUACCUGUAAUGGUGGUUUAUAAUGAAAAUAGGAGGCCACAUUUGAUCUCUACAUGAGCACAACUCCAUGGAUCUGGCUUAGAAGUUACAAAUAAUUUAUCUGAAGAUAAAUUACAUUGUUUAAAUUAUUUGUUAUUUGCGUGGAUUAAUGUUAAUUCACAUAUACACACUUUCUUGCACUUUUCACACAUUCAACAAUGGAAAUUUUGCAGACAAAACCAAAACUACAGUCUCUGAGUCAGGCUGCUUCUACCACUGUGUUACUGAAAUUUCUAAUCAUCAUCUCAUGACAAUAGUUUCAAGGGAUUUAUGAAAAAGUAGCAGAGAAUACACUUUUCUGUAAUUUACUAUUUCCUGUAAUUCAUCAUACCAUUUUUUUUCCAAAUUGCUUUGACUUUUUUUCAGGAGUAUCAUAUAUCACAGUCCAACUACUUGUGACCCUUUUCCAGCUGAUAUUCUUCUGCCUUUGUGCAUUGCUUAUUCCUGUUUCACUGCAAAGACAAUUAUAAAAGAUAUCCAAGUUCACUUGCUGGAACCUGGCUUUUCUCCAGGAUUAUAUGACCCACAUACAUGCUGAGCUGUGACCAGUCAUGGAUGUCACAUGGAGGAAGUGAGGCGCUGAUCCUGCAAGCCAGAGUCACUGGGACUUGAGGGUGGAAUUUAAAACUAGAGAGAGCCUGCAGAGCACAAGCAGCAUCUACUGAUGGAAAUAACAUGAAGACCAGCCUGGCAAAGCAUUUGAUUUCACAGGAAAAGAGCCCCUGAGACUGGAGCAUGGAGGAGUUCAAACCCCAUGUAAAGUCUCUGCUCAUUUUCAAAGACAAAAUCCAAAUCUCAGCCUACAGCUCAUCCAGAGGUGAAAGGCCACUACAACGUGACAUUUGACAAUUCCCCUCACAGAACAGGCACAGCGUGGUUUGUAAAUUUUGCCUUUUAUAAGGAUGUUGUAAUCAGAAAAGGACAAGUGUAUUUUUUAGUUUGAGAGAACGGUAGACAGCUGAAGGGAUUGUGAGAUGUGCACAGACCUGCAGAUGAGCUGUCUUGGAAGGUCUUGUUGUCAUUACUCUCGAUGUCUCAAAGAUCUGUGAUAUCAAUAUUGUCUAUUCCAAGCAAUGUGUCUUUUUGUUUAUACUCAGCUAAGGCCUGUGCAUCUAAAAAGUUUGCACUGAACUUCCUGAAACUAAAUUUCUUUGUUUUACUAUCUAAAACAGAGAAGCACCAUACUUGCCCACGUUAUUCUUCAGAGAAUAUAACAAUAUUCUUUCAAGAGAAUCUGAUUUUUUCAUGCACUGACAACUGUAACUUAAUUAUAUUAAGCCCUUCAUAGCAUGGUUAGAAAAGAAAUCAGUGUCUGUAUCACUCACUGAAAGCCCAGGUAAUAACUGUGUACAUGGCCUGUGCACAUCCCAGUGGUUGCACCUAAGAUGUCAGGGAAUUGCAUUGAAUUCACCAUUUAAUUUCAAGUAAAGUCACCGAAAGAUAAAGCAGAACUGACUCAAACUGGUGGCGCUGCUGAUCCUGGGCUUCCUGCCUUUGUGUUUCCUUGCUCAUCCUUCACUGGAAUAAAACACAGAGGAGAGAUUCCUUGGGAGUCUUGUGCUGAUGAGCCCCUCAGUGGCACCCUCGGUAAGGGUUGUAUCUUCCCUCUGUGGUUGGACUGACACUCAUCUAACUCUAACCCUUUCCUGAGCUGCCCCAGUGAGGAGCACUACAGCCUCACUGUGUAAUUUGGUGGUGGCUUAUUCAAAAGAGAAGUGAGGACAAAUUCACUCACUUAAGAUCUCAGUUGUCCUCUUUUUCUCCCCACUGGCUUUAUAAAACAAUGACAAGGCACUUAGAGAGACAGAAUAAAUCAGAUAAAUCUGGGCCUCUGUUUUGCUUACAGUAUUUUCCUACAACAGCUGUUAACAAACAUCAUCAAGACACCAAUAAUACAGCUAAAAAAGCUAAAAAAACAAGCCAGACAAAGUCUAGCAAUUCUCCAUUGUAGAGAAAAAUAAGAAAAUUCAAAUUUUUAAUCACAUUAGCUCUCUGGGACUAUUUCAGAUGAGAAAAUUUAGUCUGGAACAAGAUAAUAGAACAUUAAAACCCCGAAGAGCAGUAACAGACAAGAGAUUAACUUAAACACCUCCUAAAAUUAAAGAAUUUGACUUCGUCCCGGAAAACACUGACACCAGCAUGUGACCUGUCACAGAGACAGGGAGAUACAGUGCAGAAAGAUAGUGGGGAUACAGAAAGAAUGAGGAUACCACAAGUAAAACAACAGCUAUGAGGAAAGCUGGAGACAAAUAGCAAGACAGCAACAGCAACAGAUGUUUUCCCUUAAGGUCAUAAAUGGAAACAGAAAUCCUGAUGCACAGGAGCUUUUCCGGAGAAAUACAUCUGUAUCAGAGCAUGAAACACCAGCGAGAGAAAAACAGAGCACCAGACACCAAGGGUAAAAGCAAAGCAGUCUCCUGUUUUUGCAAGGAGAAUCAGGGCAGAUGCCCAGGCAGUGGUGAUGGGCUAUUGUUUGAGGAGAAACAAUCUCAUCUCUUCCCACCAAGACGAUGGGAGCGGACGCACAGUGCUGGGCUCUGGUCAUGUCUGGAUGAUUCACUGCCCAGAGUACCUGGCACAAGAUUUGGCCUGAGAUUCUUGUGCCUGGAAGGAGAAGGACAGUACUGCUGAUUGCUUGGACUGAGGUAGAGAGCAGGGGCCCCUGUUCAAGGGCAGAAAACUGGGCCCCCUCACCAGGAGGCUGCCAGCUAAAACUGUCCUGGCUGAGCUCACGCUCUGCUGGUGGCAUUCCUGGAUGGCCUCUGGGCUGCACUUCAGGCCAUGAGGUGCCCUUUGGAAGUCAGAGCAAGUUGUGUAUGAAGCACCAGAGCGCAGGCUGGGCUCAAGUGAAUGUUGGAAGAUGUGUUAUCUCAUUCUAGCAGGCAACACGCUGCGGGCAGCUGUGGCCUCAGCACAUCCACAACCCUGACUUUCCACACAGACCUCUGCUCUUUAUUUUUUCCCCACAACAACCACAUUUGAUCUCUGCUCAAGACAAAUGCAGGGAAAAGUGCUUUCUCAGACCACCUCUCGCUCAAGACUGACAUUAUCAGUCUGGAAUAUUCUCAGGGCUAUUGGGUGUCCGGAAGAGGGAAUGGCUGGGAUCUGAGUGUACCGAUCAAGCCUAAACCAAACACCUCCCCAGAUUUUGCUCAGACUAUCAGGAAAGGUAAUUUAGCACCUGGGGAAGAUAGGGUUUGGAGCUUGUAUUUGGCACGCCAGCCAGCCAUCUCAGAAUGGACCUACCAGAUGAGAUAUUGUGUCACAAAAAAAGUUUGCGGAGGUGUUAAGUGCAAAAGCAUUCCUGAACCAAUAGAAUAUAAAAACCACAAAAAACUCCAACACUUUUGCCAGGAAAGAAUAGUGUCUGUGUGUUUUUCAAAAUUCUGUUUGCAUAAAUAUCCAGGAAAGAAGGGAAACAGGAAUAAGAAAAAGUGCCACUGUGUUUUUCACAGUUCUGAUAAAUGCAGUGCACAUGCAGAAGGGCUCUGGAAGCCAUCUGGUUGUACAGCCAGUGUAGGGUGUGCUCUGCUGGCUCGUGGACAUACCUGCUCAGUAGCAGAGCUACCAGAGCUUUCUGCUACACAGCCUGACUGCCUGGCAAUGGAAAAAAAGAGUAUUUGCACGUGUGUGUGUGUUUGGAGCACUGAAUGAGGUGGUGGAUGCAAUUUAAAUGAACCUAAAGACUUAGGAGCCUGUGCUCCAUUUUUAUAAGUGACUCAUUGCAAAUUCAACACAAUGCCAUGGCAACACCAUAAAGAAGUUGCCAUUCCUCCGCCAAAGCACUAUAACCAGCUUGGAAUGCUUGAGCUGAGAACUCAUCCUACUCGUGUGGUGUAACUCUAACCUCAGGAUAGCCCCAUCCCAGUCACAGUGCACAGGCAGCUCAUCAAGGGGUGGGUGGUAAGUUGUUUUGUUGCCAUAACUCAUCUCUGGAUGCCAGCACAUAGUGUCCUGCUUUAGUUCUACAUGCAGUUUUUGAGAGGAUUCCUAAAUUACUUAAAUAACUUCUGGAUUCUUGGAAAAAAAAAGAAUAUAAAAAAGCUAAACGCUCACAGUUUGAAUCAACAGGAGAGCUGACCAUGAGCAGAUUUGUGAAACAUUAUAGCACUGUUAUUGUGGGUUUCCAAUUGCAGAACCAGGAAUAAAACUGACACAAGAUAUAAUCAAAGAAGAAGUAAAAGCCUGGAAAAGAAAUAAUGUUAGCCAACAUUGUUUUAUGAACAUCAGUCUCCUUGGACAGAUCUGAUUACAUCCUCUGGUGAGAUUAUAACUCGCUUGAUAAAAAUGACUACAUAAAUAUAAGAGACAUUUUAAGGCUUUUGAUUACUACUGCAUGACAUUUAGGCUUUCAAAAAUUACACAAUAUAAUAGAGCAUGUGAUGUACUGAAUGGCAUAAGGAGCCAAAUAAACAUCAGAGCCCUGAAAACAGUCACCAUCAAGGGCAGGGGCAGGGAGGUGGGGUGCUCUAAAAUCCUCUUUUGAUUAGUCAGAGGUGGGUGGCUGACUGCAGAAAUCUUUGUGUUUCAGGAAAGAGAAAACUAGCCAGGAGUUCAAACAGCCUAUUACAUAUCUACAAAAACAUCACCCACCCAGCCCCAAACUCAUUAGCCUUCAAUGGCAAUUAAACUAUCCCUUGGAUGUUUCUAAAUUGACCAUUUUGGGGAGACACUGAAAAGACAGUGGGAUUCAGUUUCUCAUAUUAAAAAAAAAAAGGGAAAAGACCUACCUUCCUAGUUUGAGGAAUAAAUAUUAAAGAAUUGGUUUGUGUUUGGUUUCUAGAGCCAUUCUUUAGAUGUGAAUUUCUGGAAUUCAAAUGUAAAAUUCAAAUUUGAAAACCGUUCUGCAACAAUAUGUCUUCCUUACCUUUAUAAUAGUGUUGUACUGAUGCUCCCUAAUUUUCCUUCAGUGUCCACAGUUAUCAGACUUCUCAUUUUAAUAUGCUUCUUUCAUGAGACACGAAGAAAAUUUCUGUAUAAGAGUUUCGCAGAACCUGUGAAUCAUGAGGUUCUUUCAUUAUAUUUAUUGUUGCUUACAAUGCAAACAAAAUGAGAAGGGUUUUUUGUGGAGGAGGGCAUGAGACACCUUGUGUUUUAAUUUUAAAAUAGCUAAAGGUCCCUUCCAUAGGAGAGGGUAAAUCACAGGACUCUUGUGAAAAUUCUGAGAAUGAGUGUAAACAAAAGUGAAAGAGAGUGGACUAUUUCCAGCAGACAUUAUGUAGCAAACUAAAGACAGCAAUUAGCAAACUAAAGACGGCAAUUUUCUAAAAAUAAUUAAAAAAAAUCCUGAGAAAGUUCUUCAUUUUUUUUCUGAGGCUAUUUUUACUCAACAUUUCUGUAGCAGAAAUACUGAUUUUGUAAUAUAUUGUGCUAAUGUAUUAUAGAUGACAUGUAAUUAAUUGGUUAAUAAUUUUCCUUGAUGUUGUGCAUGUCAGUGCAUCUUUAACUAGAUUUUAUUGUAAGUUUAAAUCAGGAAAUCUGUGUAACAGAGAUAAAAUAUUUACAAAUAACUAGAAAAUAGCUGUAUAGAAAUCUUUCUUGGUAGCCCAAGUCUUAUAGACAGUGCACAUUUUAUAGAAGUUUUAGGGGGAGGACCAAACAAGUCCUGGUUGUUAUAUAAUGUGGCACAGAGUGUGUUCAAAUCUGCUCACCAGAGAGAUUUCCCUUGCUCACUCAGAGCAUGGAAGGCCAGUGGCUGGAAUAGUGGAGAUUUGAGGAGCAGUCUAAGGUGCUACUGGGAUGAUUAUCCAUUUGGCUGAUACAGGGGCCUGGGAGGGUAUAAUAACAAGGUAAUUUUAAAAUUCAAGUUUGCAUUCCUGAGAAGACAGGAGGACACUGAAAUGAACACUGCUGUUGCAUUUCCAAGAGCAUCAGUUUCCCUAAAACAUCUGCAUGACACCACCAUUUGUCAUCAACUUUGCUGUCUCUUACAGUGAGUAUUUCUCUCAAAAAACCUCUCCUUCUCUGUCCUUCUGUACAACACAGACAUCCUCAGGUGCUGUGCUGAGCCCCAUCAGGUGAUACCUCAAAAGAGAAUUGAGCAAACCCACUUGGACAAGCAGAGUAACUUCACAUUCCCCUGCUGACACCCACGGCACAGACGUAACACCCUCACACUGACUAGCAUCAAUAUGAGAGCCAAAUCUUCCUCUGUGCAACUGCUGCUGGAGCUUUAAAGUGUUUCUGCUUUCCCUCUCACAUCCCUAUGAGCUAACCACAUGCCCUUGCUACUGUUGUCCUGUAACUGCCUUGAAAAAGAAAAAAAAUAGAAAAGAAAAAAAAAAGUAUCAGAAAUCCCCUAACUAAUUUUAACAGCUAGGGAGCUGGCAAGCAGAAGUGUAUGUGCUGUAGAACUGAAACAGGUGUGGUUUGAGCAUUUUCCACAUUUGGUUUUGGCAAAAACAUGAACAGAGGGUAUUAAUUCCUCCACACUGAUAAUGGGGUCUUGGAAUCCGUUAUCUGAAAUAAAAAUUCUUGGCAGAACUCCUCAUGUACUCAAAUGUGCAAGAAAACUGAAAACUAUGGUUUUCUUUCUUUUUGUUUUCUUUUUUUUCUUUUUUCUGUUUUUUUUCUUUAUUGAGAACCAGUUAUAAAUGCAUAAUUUUUUAUUUUUGUGUGAAUUUUACUGAAGCAUUUUUUACUUAGAGUGGGUUACAUGUGCAGAUAUCCCCAUGCCUCUCCUAAAAGAGUGAGCUGGAUCCCCCUCUCAAACAAAUGCCCCCCUGAUGGAUUUGCAUCUCUGUGCAUGUGUGCAUGUGCUUGCAUGCCUGCCCAUAAUCUGUGGCAGAUUAGCUCCACCAGGUUUGGUGCACUUGCACAAUGAAAAUAAUCUACUGUCACUAGCAUCUCUCCUCAAAUAUAAGAAGAGGAACAUGUCAGGUGGCCCUAAUUUUGGGAGAGACUGCAGCUGGCAGGGCUCAAGAUUUAACACAGAAAGUGAAUGAAUGGCUCAUUUGGUGUUACACGUGGUAAAUUCUGCCUUUCUCCUAUUCUCCAUUCCCUCUGUUCUGCACAAGCCUCUUAAUCCUGGGGAGACACAAAAUCUUUGUCAAGGAAAUUCCGUGGUGCCUAUGCCACCUGUGGAUGGUAUACAUGAUGUACUAAAUACUGUGAUGAUGGUAUCCCACAUGUUUCUGCUCAGUGGAGAGCACAAUUUACAGCUUUUCUCAAAACUCCUCCAAAGAGCCCCUCAAUACUCAUUGCUUCCAAAAUGCAGAGAGUGAUUUGGCUACUAAUAAUAGAUGGAUGACGCUCACGAGCCUGCCUGUAGCACUGCAGUAUGAGGGAAGCUUGCACUGGAAAACCUGCAGCCAGCCCUCAGAAUGGGGAUUAGAUUUUUCUCUUAUGUGCCUUUGCUCUUGGCCCUUAGUCAGCCCAACUCUUGAACUCCCCCACUCUCACUCUUACAACAAACCUCAGCAUCUCUGUUGAAGUUGUUCCCAGGGUUUAGAGAAGGCACAGGUUUGUGUUUUACCCAGGUGAGGAAGGCACUGUUAGAGAUCUUCCAGCCUGAGUGCUCUCCACACCAGACCAUUGGCUAGAGGAGCAAGACUUGCUUUGGCUAUUUUAAAAGAAGAAAAAUUGGUCCAUUAUUCUUAGAAAAGACAAGGUUGUGGCUGGCUCUCAGACACCGAGUCUCAGAUGGACAGACAGCCUCUGUGUCAUGCCAAGGCAAGGAUUCUCCUGCAGGGUCUGUGAUCUGUGUGUGGCCUUUCAUCAAAGCUGGGGCUUUAGGGCUCACAGAAACCAGUCAAAGCAGCCGGAUGUUCAUAGAUUUACAGAUACUCAAGAAACAUGGUUCUUCAGACCUAAACUAUGUUUCAGUGGUUUCUUCCUGUUAGAUUUUUCAGUGAGGAGAAAUAAUACAACAGUAGUAAAUUAUCUCUGGGGUUUGGGGUUUAGGUUUGUUUGGGUUUUUUUUAUUUCACCAGUCAUUCCUUGGUAAAAAGGAUCAUGUAGUUUCAAUAGUCCAAUUGAAGUUUAUACUCAGUAUUAUGUUUAUCCCAACCUGAAGUCUGAAUAUUUGAGGCAUGGAUUUUGUAUCUCAAUGCAUGUCAUGACUCUAAGUGCUCUAUAAGCAUUACCUUUCCAUUCUGUUUUAGAUGAAACUUCUCAGCUCAUUUUAGGAGUUCUUGAAAUCCUCACGUUGCAGCUCUCAUUUUUCAGCAGGAUCAUUCAUUGUUUUCCCAGUUCCUUCCAGGUCUUCUUUGCAUCUUUUGCAUAGUUUGGUUAAUUUAAGGCUCUCUAGUUUUGCCUUCGGUUUUCCGCUGAUUUCGCUGUGCUUGCUCUGGUUGCUCCGGUGGCAGCAUUCUCCUCACUGGCUGAAUCCACCUCUGUCCAUACAACAAUCCCUGUCAAUCACCUGCACCCAAACUCGGCUUCUUGGUCCCAUAGAAAAGCCACUGCAAACGAGGGGAAUUCUCCGUGAAAAGCUAGACCGCAUUUAUUUCUGCACGUACAGGCUUCAGCAACCUUUUUCAUUCGUCGACCAAGCAGAAUGCCCUGGGAAGCCCCUUAUCCCUGGAUGGCCAAGGGGCACAGGCUUAUUCAAAGGCAGUGCUCAGGAGGGGUGGGGUAAUGCCAAAGGCCCAACGUAGCUCUCUGCAGCUCCAAAAUCCCAGCAGUUUCUGCCAGCUGCAGCAGGACCGGGCUGUGUGGGUGCCAAGCCGCAGGGCCACACACAGCCUCCGUGGCUCAGCACCCGCACAGCCAGCGCUUUCCUAAAAAAGGGGGAAAAAAAUUUAAAAUGCUGAAUCAGACUCCCAGAGCCUGACCAAAAAACAGGCACAUAAACUACAAUUUUUAUUACAGAAACUCUGGUAGGGAGCAGAGAUGCUGUAGAAAAACUGGAGAAGAAGGGAAAUAUUCCUGGUGUUAAAAGCAAGCUGGAGCUCAUGGCGUUUGACCACAAUAGUUUUCUUGGCUGCUAUGGUUCCAUGACUGAUUUAAGAGGGUUUAAGGUUAAUAAACCAUAGUUGCAUAUUAUUAUCUCUGCUGCUCUUGCACUCUUGCUAGUAAUGCCGUUUAUUCAUAGAUUUAUGAUGAUUACCAUAGUACUAUAGGGAUUAUGUGUUUUUUAGGAACAUUUGCUGGUGGAGGGAAAAAAAUUAGCUGGGGGAGAAAGAGGGACUUGAUUUUCUAAUCUUUAAUGCUCCUACAUCCAGGCUAUAAAAGUCAUUGGUCCAUAACUUGGCCUCAAACCCAGAACACAACAAAAACCCCAACAAAACCAACCACCAAAUCUGCUCCUUACUGAACCUGCACAAACAUAAAUUUAAAUGUAUCAAAAAUCAUUACUGGUCUCAACACAACUUACUGAUGGGUGGGUCACAAAAAGUACAGGGAAGAAGGAAAAAAAGCAACAUCAAAAUGUUGUCCCUUGAAAAAAGAGGUAGUAUUUGCCUUUAAUAGAUUUCACAAGCUGAUUUCUUUUAAGAGGAAUAAAAUGAGGAUUUUCUUUUUCAUCUUGCAUUGUUUCAGUACUUUAAAACCAUACUGUAAAAGCUGAAGGAUAUUAAUCUGUCAUAAAAAGCUUAACGCACAAUGAUAUAAAUAGCAGGAAAAUGAUCUACAACAUUGUUAAACCACAAAGUAAUUUUUAAUUAUUAAAGCCUGACUUCCAAAAUAUGCUAAAGGAGUUUUCCUGCUUUCUGUUAGUUCAGGAAAAGAAAAAGUCAGAAAGAAAGAAAAGCCUAUAGUCCGCUUCCAGUCUCUCUUGCUUUCUGAGCUGAACUCUGCAUACAAAUCUAUAUUUGUAAGACACCCUCAUCUACCAGUUAAUCAAAGCCCUGGAAAUUCAAGGAAACCUGUGUUUAUGGAAAUCUGGCAUUUCUGUAAAGUUUUGAAUGAGAGCUAAAUAGAGCAGUUCAUCUCAUUGAAACUAAUGGCUUCUGCCAAGUGGUUUUGCAGCACUGGGUCUUCUGGCACAGUCAGCAUUUAGGAAUUCAUUUAUGAGCUGGGUUAGCUGGAGACUCUGGAAUUCAAAUUUAUGUCUAAGACUUAGUGGUUUAUUCCUGAUAGGUCUCUGUAAAGAAAUUGUAAUCAAUUUACCAAACUUGGACUUUGUAAUAUACAGAAUCGAAAGCUGGACUUUUUUUCAUGAUUUAGGACUUGGGAUUUUUUUUCCCCUUUCCCCAGAGGACAAUUGCAAACUGUACACAUGUAUAUUGUGUAACUGAAGGGGGCUUUUUAAUCACCCAUUCAUACUUGCUUUUGAAAAAGCUUUGUCCCUGUGCUCUUGACUUCCUACGGGCCUGAUCCUGCUCCCGCUGAAUUUUCCUGCGGGGGAACAGAAUCUUAUUUCAGAUGAAGUCACAUUUGCACAUAAAAAGCAGAGAAAUGUGUGGCUUGUCACACGAGUUGAUCUUAUUUCAAUCAGCAUUUGCAUGAACAUGCAGUUAGGCUCUAUUAAGCUCUUGUUUGAUUUGCUUAAAAAAAUAUAUGUCUCCGGGAGCUGGCCAGCAUAUUUGAAUAUUGGCUUUUUUUUCUGAGUCAUAAAACCCUAGACAUUUUUAGCAAGCAAUGAACAAGAAUUGCUCUACGCUUUCAAUGCAACUAUAAAUUUGCUCCUUUUUUCCCCAUUUAGAACUCCUUUGAAGAACUCAUUGAAUAAAUUAACAACUUGGAAAGCUGCCUGCCGUUUUUGUUGGCUUUGGGUUUCAGGGAGUUGCUUGGUAAACAAAAGUCAAUGGAUUCAAACAGUAACAAAGUAAUUUAAAUGAUUAAUCAAGUGUUAAAACUAGCUUAACCUCUCCUGUUUUACAAACUCUAUAUCACCCUCACUAAACUAAUAGAGGAAUAAGACACCCAUCUGGAAAUCUCAUCUGAAAUAUUAGAUUGAGAAUCAAAAAUUCAGCCAAGCAGUGUGGUUUGUAGGGAUAUCCUGGCGGAUAAUAAAUUGCAUUAAUCUUACUUAAAUUUUCCAUCUAAAUCAUGUCUUGAGACCAUAUUGCACUGAGGGGAAUGUGCCUAGCUUUGAAUGCAUUGUGCUACUGAAAAGGUUAU